GAGACAUUUCCAUGGAUAUUUGAGACAUUUCCAUGGAUAUUUAAGACAUUUCCAUGGAUAUUUAAGAUAUUUCCAUGGAUAUUUGAGGUUUUUCCAUGAACUUUUGAGACAUUUCCAUGAAUAUUUGAGAGAUUUCCAUGGAUUGAUGAUAUUCCCCCUCAGAUGAGACAUUUCCAUGGAUAUUUAAGAUAUUUUCACGAACUUCUGAGACAUUUCCAUGGAUAUUUGAGGUUUUUCCAUGAACAUUUGAGACAUUUCCAUGGAUAUUUGAGACAAUUCCAUGAACUUUUGAGAUAUUCCUGUGAGCAUUUAAGUUAUUCCCGUG